CAUGCACUGGUGGGGUCCCUCAGCCUGGUCUGCACCCUCUCACAAUCCAGGACCCCUUGGGGGAUGUCAGAGAGCUGGUUUCGGCCUGAUCCCCACAGGCCAGGCUGAGGGACCCCACCGAUGCACG
rnacentral:pre_miRNA from 1 species